rnacentral:rRNA from 1 species
GGGAGCGGCGGACGGGUGAGUAACGCGUGGGUAACCUGCCCUGUACACACGGAUAACAUACCGAAAGGUAUGCUAAUACGGGAUAACAUAAGAAAGUCGCAUGGCUUUCUUAUCAAAGCUUUUGCGGUACAGGAUGGACCCGCGUCUGAUUAGCUAGUUGGUAAGGUAACGGCUUACCAAGGCGACGAUCAGUAGCCGACCUGAGAGGGUGAUCGGCCACAUUGGAACUGAGACACGGUCCAAACUCCUACGGGAGGCAGCAGUGGGGAAUAUUGCACAAUGGGCGAAAGCCUGAUGCAGCAACGCCGCGUGAGCGAUGAAGGCCUUCGGGUCGUAAAGCUCUGUCCUCAAGGAAGAUAAUGACGGUACUUGAGGAGGAAGCCCCGGCUAACUACGUGCCAGCAGCCGCGGUAAUACGUAGGGGGCUAGCGUUAUCCGGAAUUACUGGGCGUAAAGGGUGCGUAGGCGGUCUUUCAAGUCAGAAGUGAAAGGCUACGGCUCAACCGUAGUAAGCUUUUGAAACUGUAAGACUUGAGUGCAGGAGAGGAGAGUGGAAUUCCUAGUGUAGCGGUGAAAUGCGUAGAUAUUAGGAGGAACACCAGUUGCGAAGGC